rfam:Oryza glumipatula chromosome 1, whole genome shotgun sequence.
AAUAAGUGCAGCCAUGAGUUUCCGUAUCCAAUUUUGAGUGUCUGUCUUAUUUGAAAUUUUUUUAUAAUUAGCAUUUUUGUUGUUAUAAGAUGAUAAAAUAUGAAUAGUGCUUUACUCAUGAAUUAUGUUUUAAAUUUUUUUUAAAAAAAAUCAAAUAAGACGAAUGGUCAAAGUUAAACGCGAAAAAACAUGACUGCACUUAUU